GGAGGAGUGGCAGAGCGGUCGAAUGCGAUGGUCUUGAAAACCAUUGUCCACGCAAGUGGACCGUAGGUUCGAAUCCUACCUCCUCCG
rnacentral:tRNA from 1 species